UACGGGGGGGGCAAGCGUUGUUCGGAAUUACUGGGCGUAAAGGGCUCGUAGGCGGCCAACUAAGUCGGACGUGAAAUCCCCAGGCUCAACCUGGGAACUGCGUCCGAUACUGGAUGGCUUGAAUCCGGGAGAGGGAUGCAGAAUUCCAGGUGUAGCGGUGAAAUGCGUAGAUAUCGGAAGGAACACCAGUGGCGAAAGCGGCUUCCUGGUCCAGCACCGACGUUCAGGCACGAAAGCGUGGGGAGCAAACAGG
rnacentral:rRNA from 1 species